ACAGCUAUUUUCAACCAUGUAGUACAUGGUAUCUUAUUAGAAAAUCUAUUGCUAUAUAAUAUUUGCUACUUCCAAAAUAAAGUGAUCUGAGAGUGAUCUUGCUUGUGCUUUAGUUACAUUGAUCGUGCCGUUGGAAUGUUAAUACAAGACUACUAACCCGACAGUAUAUUAGUAAAACUAUAGGCCACUCGACGAAAAAUAAUAAAAAUCACUAAGACUGUUGAUCACUCAAAGAAAACUGUAGAGAAAUACUCCCUCC
rnacentral:lncRNA from 1 species